AGAGUUUGAUCCUGGCUCAGAUUGAACGCUGGCGGCAGGCCUAACACAUGCAAGUCGAACGGUAGCACAGAGAGCUUGCUCUCGGGUGACGAGUGGCGGACGGGUGAGUAAUGUCUGGGAAACUGCCUGAUGGAGGGGGAUAACUACUGGAAACGGUAGCUAAUACCGCAUAACGUCGCAAGACCAAAGAGGGGGACCUUCGGGCCUCUUGCCAUCAGAUGUGCCCAGAUGGGAUUAGCUAGUAGGUGGGGUAACGGCUCACCUAGGCGACGAUCCCUAGCUGGUCUGAGAGGAUGACCAGCCACACUGGAACUGAGACACGGUCCAGACUCCUACGGGAGGCAGCAGUGGGGAAUAUUGCACAAUGGGCGCAAGCCUGAUGCAGCCAUGCCGCGUGUAUGAAGAAGGCCUUCGGGUUGUAAAGUACUUUCAGCGGGGAGGAAGGUGUUGCGGUUAAUAACCGCAGCAAUUGACGUUACCCGCAGAAGAAGCACCGGCUAACUCCGUGCCAGCAGCCGCGGUAAUACGGAGGGUGCAAGCGUUAAUCGGAAUUACUGGGCGUAAAGCGCACGCAGGCGGUCUGUCAAGUCGGAUGUGAAAUCCCCGGGCUCAACCUGGGAACUGCAUUCGAAACUGGCAGGCUAGAGUCUUGUAGAGGGGGGUAGAAUUCCAGGUGUAGCGGUGAAAUGCGUAGAGAUCUGGAGGAAUACCGGUGGCGAAGGCGGCCCCCUGGACAAAGACUGACGCUCAGGUGCGAAAGCGUGGGGAGCAAACAGGAUUAGAUACCUGGUAGUCACGCCGUAAAACGAUGUCGACUUGGAGGUUGUGCCCUUGAGGCGUGGCUUCCGGAGCUAACGCGUUAAAGUCGACCGCCUGGGGGAGUACGGCCGCAAGGUUAAAACUCAAAUGAAUUGACGGGGGCCCGCACAAGCGGUGGAGCAUGUGGUUUAAUUCGAUGCAACGCGAAGAACCUUACCUACUCUUGACAUCCAGAGAACUUUCCAGAGAUGGAUUGGUGCCUUCGGGAACUCUGAGACAGGUGCUGCAUGGCUGUCGUCAGCUCGUGUUGUGAAAUGUUGGGUUAAGUCCCGCAACGAGCGCAACCCUUAUCCUUUGUUGCCAGCGGUCCGGCCGGGAACUCAAAGGAGACUGCCAGUGAUAAACUGGAGGAAGGUGGGGAUGACGUCAAGUCAUCAUGGCCCUUACGAGUAGGGCUACACACGUGCUACAAUGGCGCAUACAAAGAGAAGCGAACUCGCGAGAGCAAGCGGACCUCAUAAAGUGCGUCGUAGUCCGGAUUGGAGUCAGCAACUCGACUCCAUGAAGUCGGAAUCGCUAGUAAUCGUAGAUCAGAAUGCUACGGUGAAUACGUUCCCGGGCCUUGUACACACCGCCCGUCACACCAUGGGAGUGGGUUGCAAAAGAAGUAGGUAGCUUAACCUUCGGGAGGGCGCUUACCACUUUGUGAUUCAUGACUGGGGUGAAGUCGUAACAAGGUAACCUCAGUCAGUCAA
rnacentral:rRNA from 1 species